rnacentral:lncRNA from 1 species
UAGGACUUUGGUGUUCCUAUCACUCGGUACUCAGGUUAGAUUCACCAUUGUCAUUUCCCGCUCCCAAUCACAUGCCCUAACCUUUUAGGUUAACAAGGAAUUAGAGAAAUCUCUGAUCUCCAUUCUAAAAUAAAGUUCUCUUGUUUCUAAUUAAAUCUGAGUCUUAGGGGAUGCACACCUGGGCAGCCCUAUGAAAAGGGGGUAUGCUGGUUUUCCUGUGUUCUAUGUAGAUAUCUACUGUUUUAGGUGUGACAUCUGUUUGUUUGUUUGUUUUUACUUCUGAUAGUUCUUACCAAGCAUUUUCACAGCUGGCAUUUCCCUGACCACUAAAGUACUGGAAGAAAAGAAACCCAAGGCUUAUUUCAUUAUAAGUCGUGGAGUAAGGUCAACAUGCUCAUACACAGAUUGGAUUGAUCAAACAUUGCCUGAUGUGGUGAUGGAGGGAAGAUUGAAUCACAGAGUCAUGAGAGAAGUUUGGAUUAGGGGUGAGCAUGGUUUACUGUCUUAUAUUUUGACUGUUUCAACAGCUCACAGCUGCUCACAUUUGUCACAGCUCUUGGAGUUGUAAUAUUGUGAAGGUGAAUUUUAGACUAUGGUGACUCACACCUGUAAUCCCAACACUUGGGAGGCUGAAACAGGAGGGCUGUCAAGACUUUGAGGCUAGCCUGGACUACAUGGUGAAUUCCAGAACAGUGUAGGACUCUGUUUUGAAAACCAAAGUAAGCAAAUAAAAGAUUAGCUUUACUCUAUAUAAAUUAUAUU